GACGAACGCUGGCGGCGUGCCUAAUACAUGCAAGUAGAACGCUGAAGGAGGAGCUUGCUUCUCUGGAUGAGUUGCGCACGGGUGAGUAACGCGUAGGUAACCUGCCUGGUAGCGGGGGAUAACUAUUGGAAACGAUAGCUAAUACCGCAUAAUAGCAGUUAUUGCAUGAUAACUGUUUGAAAGGUGCAAUUGCACCACUACCAGAUGGACCUGCGUUGUAUUAGCUAGUUGGUGGGGUAGCGGCUCACCAAGGCGACGAUACAUAGCCGACCUGAGAGGGUGAUCGGCCACACUGGGACUGAGACACGGCCCAGACUCCUACGGGAGGCAGCAGUAGGGAAUCUUCGGCAAUGGACGGAAGUCUGACCGAGCAACGCCGCGUGAGUGAAGAAGGUUUUCGGAUCGUAAAGCUCUGUUGUAAGAGAAGAACGAGUGUGAGAGUGGAAAGUUCAAACUGGGACGGUAUCUUACCAGAAAGGGACGGCUAACUACGU
rnacentral:rRNA from 1 species